rnacentral:lncRNA from 1 species
CUUGCAAGAUCCUCCUCUUCAAUCAUCUGUGUYUUGUUUUGUCUACAGGUUAUCAUGAAGCUCUCAAACACCAUGUGUCUGCAAAAAACUAUUUUCUGUUAGAACAUAUCUCCAUAUGGCUUUGAUAUGCUGUGAGACUCUAUUGAAGUGCUUAUAUGUAAAUGGUGGUUGUUUAGCAGUUUGUUUGGAAGUUGGGUGAGCUAAAACAGGAACCUGGUAUAAAAAAGAACAAGAACAAAUCACUAAACAUCAGUGAGCCCCAUUGCCUUAUGGUACUGAGACACUGCCUGUUUCUGUACUGGGAAUUAUUUCUUUGGAGUUCGGGCACCCAGAUCUGCUUUCUCUCUCUCUUGCUCUCUCUUCUUUGGUUCUGUUUUUCUCUUGUUAUGCAGGCAGCCCACAAGUGGCUGGCUAUGGUCAGCAGAAAUGUGUGCCACUCCUCAGCGUUGCUAUUUUUGCUUGACACUCGAUGGCUGAUGGCUAGCCAUAAUGAUAGCGGUGAACACUGACUGCAAGGAUAUUUAUAACAUCUUCCUUGAUUCUCACCCCUUCAGGCUAUGGCUGGACUGAAACACACCUUCGAGGCAUGAAAGUGGAGUAAAGACUCGUGAUGCCCAUCGCAGUGGAGCUGUUGGUAACCUCUUUGCUCAUCCAUCUGCUUCCCUGCUAGAACCGAUUCCUUUGGCAGCAGGCUGGGUGCAUAGCAAAGGAAGGAUAAGGGAUUGUCAAGCUUGCCAAAGUUUUCGGAAUGAAUUACUCUGUCCAGCCCUGGCAAGUAGCUGAUUCCAAGGAGACAGGUGAUAACUGCUUGGCAGCACAUACAAGCAAAUAYCCUCUCAUAUGUUCAAAAGGGCGAGUGAAAAAUGCCAGGAGACAGAAGAAAGGAGAAAUUUCAGGGAUAUKGAAGGUGGUGGAACCUCUGAACUUCAGCAUCUCCGAAUGGCAUCCCUGCAGUCUCACUCAUUCCUGCUGYUUUUUGUGGCCUGAUCUUACCUGCUCUGGCAUUUCAUGUGCAAAGAAUUACUGAUUCACCAGGGCAGGCUCUCAGAGGCAGCACUGAUGAAGGCUGUAUGACUGCCCAGGUAACAGGACRACGUUAGGUCUCUUUUCAGGUUUUCGAUCUGUGUCUGGAGUCUCUGGACUUGCCCCUAUCUCACUGGCAGCCCUUUGUGGCUAGCUUGUCCCCUCCAAGCUUGUAAAAAGGACAUGAGAUAUCUAAAUGGUCACGAGCUAGUUUCCAUCCUCCAGUUGGGAAGAAGAAAUGGGCUCUUGGAAAGUGUGCGUGGAGGUGAGGGGUGUUUCUAUUACUGCUGCUUGCUAAAUAUCACCUCACCUACUUGCUUUCUGCAUUUCCAUUGCUGYCUGCCAAGACAUUGCAGCUCUAUGACAACAGCCUUCCUGUGUAAGCAA